UACGUAGGGGUGCAAGCGUUGUCCGGAAUUAUUGGGCGUAAAGAGCUCGUAGGCGGUCUGUCACGUCGGCUGUGAAAACCCGAGGCUCAACCUCGGGCCUGCAGUCGAUACGGGCAAACUAGAGUACUGCAGGGGAGACUGGAAUUCCUGGUGUAGCGGUGAAAUGCGCAGAUAUCAGGAGGAACACCGGUGGCGAAGGCGGGUCUCUGGGGCAGUAAACUGAC
rnacentral:rRNA from 1 species